rnacentral:rRNA from 1 species
UACAGAGGGGGCAAGCGUUAUUCGGAAUUAUUGGGCGUAAAGGGCGCGUAGGCGGCGAUUCAAGUGACGGGUGAAAUCCCUCGGCUUAACUGGGGAACUGCGUCCGAUACUGGAUGGCUCGAGUUUGGGAGAGGGAUGCGGAAUUCCAGGUGUAGCGGUGAAAUGCGUAGAUAUCUGGAGGAACACCGGUGGCGAAGGCGGCAUCCUGGACCAACACUGACACUGAGGAGCGAAAGCCAGGGGAGCAAACGGG